rnacentral:rRNA from 1 species
UGGGGAAUUUUGGACAAUGGGCGAAAGCCUGAUCCAGCAAUGCCGCGUGUGUGAAGAAGGCCUUCGGGUUGUAAAGCACUUUUGUCCGGAAAGAAAUCCUUGGCUCUAAUACAGUCGGGGGAUGACGGUACCGGAAGAAUAAGCACCGGCUAACUACGUGCCAGCAGCCNCGGUAAUACGUAGGGUGCAAGCGUUAAUCGGAAUUACUGGGCGUAAAGCGUGCGCAGGCGGUUUGCUAAGACCGAUGUGAAAUCCCCGGGCUCAACCUGGGAACUGCAUUGGUGACUGGCAGGCUAGAGUAUGGCAGAGGGGGGUAGAAUUCCACGUGUAGCAGUGAAAUGCGUAGAGAUGUGGAGGAAUACCGAUGGCGAAGGCAGCCCCCUGGGCCAAUACUGACGCUCA